GCGCUCACCAGGGCUCCGGUCAUCCUGUGGUCCUGACCUGUCCGUGAGCAAGAGACAGGACUGGUUUGGCGGUGCCCUGAGUGGUACGGGCACCACGGUUUUCAGUGCAAGC
ensembl:scaRNA